rnacentral:rRNA from 1 species
AGGGUUUGAUUAUGGCUCAGGACGAACGCUGGCGGCGUGCCUAACACAUGCAAGUCGAGCGGAGCGAUUUUUCGGAAGUUUUCGGACGGAAGGAGGAGAGCUUAGCGGCGGACGGGUGAGUAACGCGUGGGCAAUCUGCCUUUUACAGGGGGAUAACACAGGGAAACUUGUGCUAAUACCGCAUAAAACUGUUUUGCGGCAUCGCAGAGCAGCCAAAGGAGCAAUCCGGUGAGAGAGGAGCCCGCGUCUGAUUAGCUAGUUGGUGAGGUAACGGCCCACCAAGGCGACGAUCAGUAGCCGAACUGAGAGGUUGAACGGCCACAUUGGGACUGAGACACGGCCCAG